UUAUUUAUGAAUCCCAUCAUUGGAAGUUUCAGUAGUUGGGUUUCCCAAGGGACUCCAUAGGCCAGCAUAACUGACCUAAGUUGUAAAUAUACGAAGAAAAGGAAUUGCCCUGUAAUGUGAAUGUAUCUGUCAAAUUUUGGAAUGUUCUCAAAUCAUUAUUGUUCAUGAUAUCGAUAGGGGUACGGAUUCCACAUUUGGACUAUUGGGGUGACGCAAAAGGCCGUCCUCCAGAUGGCAAGGCAUUAUUGUGGAAUGUUGGCCUAUGGGCAUGCCAUUUUGAUUCCCAGUUACAUUGUUUUUUCAAUUUUGCGCCAAAUAGAAAUUGUGUGAACAAUAAUGGGACCAAAGUGUAGUUUACAUUGUUGAAGGGAUAUACCGUAUGAGUGAAGACUACCUCUUCCAGGGCAAUAGCAGACACCGUAUGUCUCUCUGUACUCAGCCGGUGUGCAGAGGAAUCAUGUCUUAACCAUUUUAGGAUGUGGCGAAAUGCUAGUGCCUGGAAAUACAAUUGAAAGCUUGGCACGGAUAGUCCUACGUCUUUCCCUCUUUGUACGGCAAUAUGGAUUUGAUCCCAAUAGCCAGAAGGGGAGCCUUCUACUCCCAAAUAUUUUAAAUGGGAACUAUUGGGAUUCCAUAAGUCCUCCACCGGUGCCUUGAGAGGCAUUAGGACUGAUUUUGAUUAGAUACGUUUUAUAGCUUGAGCUCAAUUCAGCUUCAUCUAUGAUCUUUGAUGCGUUAAGGAGCAAUCAGAGGUGUACAGGUCUUUAUAGAAGCGAGAGAAUCUUGAAUUAAUUUGUGUUCUGAUAGUAAUUACCGUGUUUCAGAUUCAGUAGUUGCUAAUAUCAGCCAAUUGAUCGUUACUACUUAGCUUGUUGGCUAGUAAACAACUGGGACGAUUACCAUGUAAAUAAUGGUUGAGUAUUACUCUAUUGAUGGCAAAUUAUGCUCUCUGUCUAAUCAAUAAGUUAAGUUCUGUCUUGACUUUGGAAAAAUGGCUACCUGGUCUAAAGAGUUUGUGGAGAACGCUCUAACACAGUUAAGAAAUCCGUUUUCUAAAUGUUAAUUGUGAUUUAUUCGAUCCAAAUGCAGUUGCCUUAUUGUUAAUAAAAUCUUUGGUGGCAUUCCAUAGAAUCCAGGGGUCAUCGACUGAAAUAUUUUAUUGAUCAUUAUGAAUUAAUUCAAUUUCAAAUUGAUCAAAUAAUUCAGGAUUUUGUAGUAAAGAAACGUUGAAACGCCAUCUUGUGACUCUUCUAGGAGAUUCUGAAGUUGGCAGUAGUAAGCGUGGUGGUCAGACAUGCUCAUAUGUUGAAUUUCUAUUUUCUUAAUUAAAUAAAAUACAGGUGUAGAUAAUAGUAUGAAAUCGAUUUGUGAGAAUGUUAUAUGCCUGUUUGAGGAGAAAGUGUACUAUUUUUUUUAAAUUUAGGAUUAUGUGCUCGUCAGGCAUCAAUGAGGUUGUAAUCAGAGAGUAUAUGCUGGAGAGCCUUGGUUGCAUGUGGAUUGUAGUUGGUUUUAUUAGAUUUCUCCCAUGGCAUUCAUGUCUGUUCAAAUAACCAGAUGGAAUUCAGUUAAUUUUAACAAUGCUGUUCAGAGAAUCAAGAAAUGUAGGAUCAUAUGAAUUGAGCGCACACGUGAAUAAAGGCUAUUUUCUUUCCAUUAUGAA
ensembl:lncRNA